rnacentral:lncRNA from 1 species
GUAGGACUAGGCGCGUGCCACGCGCUGCUGCUCCAGCCAGCCCUGCGUCCUCAACGUCCCAGUUUCUUCCUUCGAGCCCCGGGAGUGGUAUCGGCGGGAGUUCCGCCCUGCGCGUGGCAGGGAGGGUGGUGCUGGGCCCUGUGCAUUUCCGCUAGGCAAACCCGAGCCCGCGCGACUUGUCUGGUACGCCCAGAGGCCCCUUCGUGGCCAGGGCGGCUGAUUCCCAGCGGUUCCCAGCACGGGGCAGAGGAGGAGGGCGUUGCGGGGUGGAGGCGAGAUCCGGAAGUAGGCCUCUAUCAUUGCACACUCUGACAAGCCUCUUCAUUGGAACUGAACCUGAUUUUUUUUUUACGACGCCUGCCCUAGUUUCAGAUUUUUUUUACACUUGAUCUUAGAAGACUGAGAAGCGAUAGUUCCAAAUCUUUUAAUAAACAGACAUGCUCAUUAAUGAGGUGCUGGACACAUUACAGGUCAGCCUAGUGUAGCUCAUUGCAAAGGAUUUACAUGAUUUUUGGUGGGGUGUUGUGGAUUGCCCUGGGGCUAAUUAUAUUUGAUGUCAAUUCUGUUCUCCUGUGAGGAGUUGUGAACAAGGAAUGAGUCAGCACUUAGGUGAUUUCUUGUAAACCUUCCCACCUUAAUUUGUAAAAUAAAGGAAAGCUGAUGAUUGGGCAGAGAAAGGGAAAGUGGAGUGGAAAGAAAGGAAGGAGGUUUGAGACAGAGAAGGCAGAGGAGGAGGAAGAAGAAAAGCAGAACAGAAGAACAUGGCCUGGAGAAAACCCCUACUGAGAACCAGGCAGAGAGGGAACCCAGAAAGUCCAGACGGGUUGCUGAUUAGCACACGAUUCAGAUCCUGUACACGUGUCCCAGGCUACCAGACUCCCUCCCUUCCCCUGCCAACCAGGAACCAGCCUGACUACAAUUACUUACUAUGGAAUGCCCAUCAGUCACAUGGUAUAGAGCC